rnacentral:misc_RNA from 1 species
GAUGAAGAACGCAGCGAAAUGCGAUAAGUAAUGUGAAUUGCAGAAUUCAGUGAAUCAUCGAAUCUUUGAACGCACAUUGCGCCCGCCAGCAUUCUGGCGGGCAUGCCUGUUCGAGCGUCAUUUCAACCCUCGAGCCCCCCCGGGGGCCUCGGUGUUGGGGGACGGCACACCAGCCGCCCCCGAAAUGCAGUGGCGACCCCCCGCAGCCUCCCCUGCGUAGUAGCACACACCUCGCACCGGAGCGCGGAGGCGGUCACGCCGUAAAACGCCCAACUUUCUUAGAGUUGACCUCGGAUCAGGUAGGAAUACCCGCUGAACUUAAGCAUAUCAAUAAGCGGAGGA